rnacentral:rRNA from 1 species
UAACGUAGCGAAAGUUACGCUAAUACCGCAUACGAUCUAAGGAUGAAAGCGGGGGAUCGCAAGACCUCGCGCGAUUGGAGCGGCCGAUAUCAGAUUAGGUAGUUGGUGAGGUAAAGGCUCACCAAGCCGACGAUCUGUAGCUGGUCUGAGAGGACGACCAGCCACACUGGGACUGAGACACGGCCCAGACUCCUACGGGAGGCAGCAGUGGGGAAUUUUGGACAAUGGGCGCAAGCCUGAUCCAGCAAUGCCGCGUGCAGGAUGAAGGCCUUCGGGUUGUAAACUGCUUUUGUACGGAACGAAACGGUGAGCUCUAAUACAGUUUGCUAAUGACGGUACCGUAAGAAUAAGCACCGGCUAACUACGUG